GUCUUACAUUGGCAGGAUCAACCUGGGACUAGCAACUGUCAGGACAUGCCAUCCAGAGUUUGAUUCAAACUAAAAUUUAAGCCGAUUGUAGGGAAAAGAAUGAAAUAAACAAGCCACAGAUAAAGAAUAAGUCAUAUGAAAAAGGGGACAAUCAAUAAACAAUCUCAUGCACUAAGGAAUCAAGUUAAUCCACUCUAGUCAUGGAAUAAGAGACAUUUGCCCUAUUUUGGACUGCUAUUAGAAUCGGUAUAAUGAAAAAGUCUAUGUACAGUGUGGCAGAAAUAACAGCUGCAAUGGCCAGUAAUUGGAUUUGGAGGUAGCCACCAUAAUGGCCUACUUCCCCCAUGAUUCCCAAAUAACCAUUCUGAAAUAGCCCAAAAAAUAAUGGUAUACUGAAAACCUAAGAUAUAAUGGCCGUUACACCACAAAAUGGCCAUCAUUUAAAACAAUGUUUUUGCCAUAUAGCUUCACCAUUCAUGACACCGAUGGCCUCUCAACUCUUGUGGUUCAAUAACGAAAAUGAGGCUCAAGAUCGUCCAACACUACUUCUUACAGUAAAAUGACAUAGACAGUACUAUUGAUUCCUACUCAGUAAUUACUGGAAUUUGAUUUUAGAACCACCCAGUGUUGUCACAAGGCGCCCGGGCGAGGUGAAAUCUAGGCACCAAGCCUCCGGACGAGGAGGAGGAGACUUCAUCCAGGCAAGGUCUAUGUGAG
rnacentral:misc_RNA from 1 species